rnacentral:tRNA from 1 species
GGUUGUGGCUCAGUGGCAGAGUGCUUGCCUAGCAUGUGUGAGUCACUGGGUUCGAUCCUUAGCACCA